rnacentral:rRNA from 1 species
UACGUAGGGUGCAAGCGUUGUCCGGAAUUAUUGGACGUAAAGAGCUCGUAGGCGGCUCGUUGCGUCGGCUGUGAAAACCCGCAGCUCAACUGUGGGCUUGCAGCUGAUACGGGCGGGCUGGGAUUCGGUAGGGGAGACUGGAAUUCCUGGUGUAGCGGUGAAAUGCGCAGAUAUCAGGAGGAACACCGGUGGCGAAGGCGGGUCUCUGGGCCGAUAUCGACGCUGAGGAGCGAAAGCGUGGGGAGCGAACAGG